UAUUGGACAAUGGGCGCAAGCCUGAUCCAGCAAUACCGCGUGUGUGAAGAAGGCCUUAGGGUUGUAAAGCACUUUCAAUUGGGAGGAAAACCUGCCGGUCAAUACCCGGUAGCUUGACAUUACCUUUAGAAGAAGCACCGGCUAACUCCGUGCCAGCAGCCGCGGUAAUACGGAAGGUGCGAGCGUUAAUCGGAAUUACUGGGCAUAAAGCGUGCGUAGGCGGUUCGUUAAGUCAGAUGUGAAAGCCCUGGGCUCAACCUGGGAACUGCAUUUGAAACUGGCGGACUAGAGUUUAGUAGAGGGGAGUGGAAUUUCAGGUGUAGCGGUGAAAUGCGUAGAUAUUUGAAGGAACACCAGUGGCGAAGGCGACUCCCUGGACUAGAACUGACGCUGAGUACGAAA
rnacentral:rRNA from 1 species